rnacentral:rRNA from 1 species
CGCGCAGAACCUUACCAUCCCUUGACAUCCAGAGAAUCACCUAGAGAUAGAUGAGUGCCUUCGGGAGCUCUGAGACAGGUGCUGCAUGGCUGUCG